rnacentral:rRNA from 1 species
UACGAAGGGGGCUAGCGUUGCUCGGAAUCACUGGGCGUAAAGCGCACGUAGGCGGAUUGUUAAGUCAGGGGUGAAAUCCUGGAGCUCAACUCCAGAACUGCCUUUGAUACUGGGAGCCUUGAGUUCGGGAGAGGUGAGUGGAACUGCGAGUGUAGAGGUGAAAUUCGUAGAUAUUCGCAAGAACACCAGUGGCGAAGGCGGCUCACUGGCCCGAUACUGACGCUGAGGUGCGAAAGCGUGGGGAGCAAACAGG